UCUCUCUCUCUCUCUCUAUGAACUGUCUGCAACAAAGAACCAUCCUAAUCCGCCACACAUCACCAUCUCCAUCUAGAUCCACCACACCAUCACACCGCCUCCAUCCAGAUCCGCCACACCAUACCACCACCUCCAUCUGAAUUGCCACACAACACCUCCGCCUCCAUCUAGAUCUGCGACAACCACCACCACCGAAAGAAAAAACGUUAUUGUACGGUGAAGAAAGUCAAGGAUGAACUUAUUUUGGAUGGAAAUGACAUUGAGCUUGUUUCCAAAUUGUGUGCCUUGAUUAACCAGAAAUGUCAUGUGAAGAACAAAGAUAUCAGAAAGUUUCUUGAUGGUAUUUAUGUCAGUAACAAGGCAAAGAUAGAUGCGGGUGACAAUUAGUCGGUGGUUGUUAAUGGUGAUGGGUGGUGGUCUUUGAGAGGAAGAGAGAUAGGUGGUGCUAGUGAGGUGUUUAGGUGGUCGUUGUGAUGGUGGCUUGGGUGGUGGCCGGAUGGUGGUUGGAAUGUCAUUGGUGAAGCUUUAGGCUAAAAGUUAGGGAGAAAGAGGGUGUUGACUUGAAAGAGCUAUAAUUGUACCCCACGCGCGUUGCGUUGCGGUUGCAUUACGUUGCGGUCCACAAUUUUUCGUAAACGCUCAAGGAGUCCUUUCACCUGUCAUUUUUAAGGUAAGAAAUACAAACUAUGCGUAAGCAAUUAAAACGCAAGGCUGUUAACCGCUUAAAAAGCCAAAGCAACCCAUCCACCACUAAAAACAUACCUAAAAACCUAAGGAGAUAAUAAAGAACAUUUUAUUAAAUAUUUUGAAUGAGCGGCUAAGAAUCAUCGCUGCAACUACUUGCUUCUUUCAAGCCACCUCAGUUGCCAAGCCAAGAAUAACGCAUCAUGGUUGCCAAUACAAUAGAAUAUACAAUCAAAGUAAACAGAAAUCUCUAAUAAGCACUUGAUCUCCACCAUCGAACGAAAAAGAAUUGAGGACUUAUACAUAGAGACUAUACAGUAGUAUACAACAUAUAGCCAUUAAAAUAGCCAUUUUCGUAGAACCCAAUGUUUAAAAACCCGGUUUUUAAAUCAUACCGGGUUGGGCUCUGAAAUGGUACAACCAGUUAAACCGGGUUGUACCAGACGGUUCAACCGGAUUACUAGUUAACCCUAUAAUUCCAUACAAUACAUAUUUAUCUAAAAAGUAAUCCAAUCUCGGUUAGGAUUUAUGUUAACGGUCAUGGUUUUAUCUAAAAACAACUAUUUUUUUGUAAGAUAUUAAGCAUUUUAAGAGAAUUUUUAUUACUUAUAAACAAUAUUACAAUGUACGGGGUGGGUAACAGUUUCAAUAGUGAUGGAAUAUUGGGAUGGAAGGCACUAAGUUAAUUACCGGAUAUAUGGAAGGCUAGUUUUACGUUAAUAUCGUAUUUUAUUAAAAUUAAAAAACCAAAUUUUAAGAUAAUGCAAAUCGGUUCAACGGUUUGAACCGGUAGAAUCGGAUUUACCACCGGUACAUAAGACAUAUCGUAUUGGGGUUUUACCGGCCUUUAUCAUAUCGGGCCCGUGUCUGAUACACGAUUUAACUGGUAUAACCAGCCAGUUUAUACCGGUAUUUAAAUCAUUGGUCUAACCUGUUCAAACUAAAAUGAGAUAGA
rnacentral:lncRNA from 1 species